rnacentral:rRNA from 1 species
AGUUCGGAUUGCAGGCUGCAACUCGCCUGUAUGAAGUCGGAAUUGCUAGUAAUCGCGGAUCAGCAUGCCGCGGUGAAUACGUUCCCGGGCCUUGUACACACCGCCCGUCACACCAUGAGAGCCGGGAACACCCGAAGUCCGUAGUCUAACCGCAAGGGAGGGAGCAGCCGAAGGCAGGUCGGAUGACUGGGGUGAAGUCGUAACAAGGUAUC